AUUCAAUAAAUGAGUCCUACUCCUACACCUACUCUUAUCACUUGUAAUCCAAAAAAGCUCCAUUUCUUUCUUAUACGCUAAUUCACUAUUAAAUAGAAAUGUAUAUGCAAAACAGCGAGAAAUUUGUAGAUACGUUGAAUGUUGUUGCUUUCACAUUUGCAACUCUUAGUAGUUGUUCAAAACAACAAUGUCGAGCAAAGAUGUUUGCGAUGUUUGAAUGAUUCUUGGAUUGUAUUUGGAUUCCAUCGGUACUAUGGCCUGUUGAUUCGGCACCUUUGUCAUUUUAGCAACUUUUGUUUUCUUUUCUGUGUCGAUGUAGUUCUCUAUACCAUAUUCAUGUUCAUAUUCAUGUUCAUAUUCAUGUUCAUAUCAAUGUCCAUAUCAAUGUCCAUAUCAAUUUCCCAUGUUCCAUUACAUAUCCCGUGUUCUUUCCUUCUUCCAGCUUUUACAUGCUAGCCUUUUAUACAAUGAUUCCUCUCAUCUCGACUCGCUUGAUGAAUGGGCGUUUAGUUUUUGCAACAACAUAUGCGUUGGGUUAUCUCAUAUCGGGAAACACUUUCUGCCACUUUUAACUUGAACAAAGUUGGAGAAAUAAAGUGAUGGCAGAUAUUGCAAGUUGUUUAUAGUGUGCCUGUAGAAAUGUAAAAACGCUAUGUUUCGUGAAUGCCCAGCCUGUAAAUCGAAAUAAGAUUUCGUAUUUAUUAAGCAUUGGAAGAUCACNAUUGGNAAAAACACGAUACGGNUGGUCUCUUCACAGGUCGUUCUCCAGUAAUCACNAACAUGAAANC
rnacentral:sRNA from 1 species